rnacentral:rRNA from 1 species
CCUACGGGCGGCUGCAGUGGGGGAUAUUGCACAAUGGGGGGAACCCUGAUGCAGCGACGCCGCGUGGGUGAAGAAGCGCCUCGGCGCGUAAAGCCCUGUCAGCAGGGAAGAAAAUGACGGUACCUGAAGAAGAAGCCCCGGCUAACUACGUGCCAGCAGCCGCGGUAAUACGUAGGGGGCAAGCGUUAUCCGGAUUUACUGGGUGGAAAGGGGGCGCAGACGGCGAUGCAAGCCAGGAGUGAAAGCCCGGGGCCCAACCCCGGGACUGCUCUUGGAACUGCGUGGCUGGAGUGCAGGAGGGGCAGGCGGAAUUCCUGGUGUAGCGGUGAAAUGCGUAGAUAUCAGGAGGAACACCGGUGGCGAAGGCGGCCUGCUGGACUGCAACUGACGUUGAGGCCCGAAAGCGUGGGGAGCAAACAGGAUUAGAUACCCUUCUAGUC